GAGACCCACCGCGUGCGGCCUGGAGACAGCUGGAGGAGCGAACCAGCAGAGCAAGGAGAAGAAGACAUGGAGACGCGGCUGACGUGAGUCCAAGCUCCCACGACGGCAUAAACCUCUCGCCACUAGAGGAGGAGGAGGAGGAGGAGGAGGAGGAGGAACGGCGGCCCUUCUCCUCCUCGUCCCCGUGAAGCACGCUCUGGCGCUCUGCCACCGGCGGGACCUCGCGCGCGGUCGUCUCGAGAUCUCAAGCAGCUGAUUAGUUCAACAUGUUCUUCUUUUUAUGAUACACUACCUUGCAAGCUAGUAAAAGAUGAGCUCGACCCGUCGAGCUUCAAAAGCUGCAAAAUCAACAAUCAAUUACCACCGGCUUUCAUUAGAUGAGCACCAAUUAUUUGAGUCAGAUGCUUUAGUUACUAAGGAUCGAGAUGCCAAUCAUCAACCGAGGCAAAGUCCUCAAUUGGGCAGAACUUAUACUGAUAGAAGAUUUACCACUCCCCAGUUUGUAUCAGCAUUGACAGGGAUCUGGAAUCUUGUUGGCCACCCUGAAUCAUCUGGUACAACUCAAAGAUCUGAGAGCCAUGGUACUUCAAGUAGGGAAGACCCUGUGUGUUUUAGCAGGGAUCAACGAGGACACAUAUUAACACCUUCCUGUGUGGAAAAGUCAAGCGGUCUGAGUUCUCGAAACUGUUUAUCUACACCAAAAUCAGUUUAUGAAGAUCUUAGUUCAGUAAAGAAGAUGUUAAUGCUGACACCAUUCAGUAGCACUUUUGGUGCUUCAUCCACAUGGAGACAUAUGCAUUCCAUCAAUAAGAUUGGGGGUGCACAAUAUUUGCAAUGCGCAAAUUUAUACUCCAUGCAAACUAAAAAGACAGAAGAAAUUGGGACUUCUGAAAGUAGCAAAAGAAGCAUGUGUGAGGAAACUUAUUCUGCUUCCACCAAUAUGGACAUUACCGAUGAUGACUAUUCCAGUCAAACAAGAAGCACACCUGCUGAGCUAUGUACUAGCUCAAAUGAAGAAGUUAGCACUACACAUACACAUGAUUAUGAAAGUUCUCUACAUGAUACUGAAUCCAAUCUAGAGAUAUUUCAUGAAGAUCCUAAUUUUUCAGCUUCCACAGUCCAUCAAACGGAAAUUGCCAAAGAGGCGACAAUAAUAGCAGUAAAACAGAUUUCUAGUAAGGCAUGCACAGAUUCUCAAGUUGACUCACUGACACGCGUGUCUUGUCUGGUUGGUGAUGAUGUUGUUCUUGAUCCAGCAAAUGGAGAUGAAUAUGCUUAUGCUGGUGGCAUAUGUCCGCAAUAUUCUGUUGAUAAGUGUUCACAUGAGCGUCAACCAACUUUUGAGCAUCGAUUUGAUGGUGCUGUUACCAUAAACAGGCAUGCUGUGGCAGGAGCCUUAGCUGGGACUGCAGUCAGUGUUUCUUUGCAUCCAAUUGAUACAGUGAAAACCAUAAUUCAGGCUAACAGUUCUGGACAAAGUUCAUUCAACCAAACACUGAGGCGCACUCUUGUUGAGAGAGGUGUUCUGGGACUUUAUGGAGGACUUGCCAGCAAACUUGCUUGUUCUGCGCCCAUUUCUGCAAUUUAUACCUUAACUUACGAAAUUGUCAAGGGGGCUCUUCUACCUAUUUUGCCAGAGGAAUAUCAUUCAAUUGCACAUUGUGCUGCUGGUGGUUGUUCUAGUAUUGCAACAUCCUUUGUUUUUACACCCAGCGAAUGCAUAAAACAACAAAUGCAAGUGGGUUCUCAAUAUCAGAAUUGCUGGAUAUCUUCAUUUCAUCAUUCUCUUCAUCACGCUCUAGUAAGAGUUUCAUGCCAUCAGGAAUGCUUUAGUAGGAUGCCUUAAAAGGGGUGGCAUUUCUUCACUAUAUGCUGGAUGGGGUGCUGUUCUUUGCAGAAAUAUCCCACAUUCCAUAGUAAAGUUUUAUGCCUAUGAGAGUAUGAAGCAGUCUAUUUUGAAAUCAGCACCUGAUAAUGUCAAGCUCAGUUCUGGCGAGACACUUUUAUGUGGAGGUUUUGCUGGGUCGACUGCUGCUUUGUGUACAACCCCAUUUGAUGUUGUCAAGACACGAGUGCAAUUACAGGCACUCAGCCCUAUUAGCAAGUAUGACGGUGUUCUUCACGCACUAAAAGAAAUUUUCCGGCAAGAAGGCUUUCGUGGUCUUUACAGGGGUUUGACUCCAAGGCUGGCGAUGUAUAUAUCUCAAGGUGCUAUAUUCUUUACGUCCUAUGAGUUUCUCAAAACAAUUAUCUUCCCUGAACAAGAGAUUCCUGCAAGUAGCUUUUGAUCAUGAAAUGAUAGAACAUGGUGCAGCAGUGUGGUAGUAAAAAACUUGUAUUGAUAUGUCAACCUCAGAACUAACUACUGGGGUGGUCUGACUUAGAAUUUAGUUGUAGUUACGGUGCCAUCCAAUUUUUGUGUCUUGUUAACAAAGUUGUGUACAUCAUAGAAUACCUUUUCGGGUAAUCUCAGAUUUAGGCGAUAGAAAAUUUUGUACCAUCAGUAAAGGAGAUAGCAGUAAAGGCAGAAAUUCCCUUUCAGGGAACCUGUGAAUGUGUCAUGGACUCAUGGCUAUGUAUUUUGGUUUCUUACUGAAACAAAGGUCAUGUUUAUUGAGGGAAUCCGCUGUUCAAAAUCCAAUA